UGUCAAGCCACUGGAAAAGUGUUAGGUAGGGGAAGGUGAAGGCCCUAAAUCCUUGUGUAUGAUACUCAACAGGGCAUGAAUCCUGAUGCUCAAUCACUACUUAUGGAGCAAAGCAACUGAUGUCUGACCUGAGUUUUCAAGGUUAAGUCAGAGAAAGAGCUGUUUCUAAGGCACUGGGAAUGCAUGCAAAGCCAUUAAAAGAAAUGGUCUGUGCCGAGUUCCAGAAACGGCUGUAUGAGGUAAAACCAAAAAGAGGAAAGGCCAUGCGAAGACACUACAAGACAGCAGCCACCUGCAAGCCGAAGAAAGAGGCCAUAGAAGAAACCAACCCUGAGGGCACCUGACCAUGACCUUAAGGCUUCCAGCCUCUGUAAUACUGAGAAAAUAAAUUUCUGUUUAAGCCA